AAUUAACGCUAGCGGAAGGCAUAAUACAUGCAAGUCGAACGGGAUAGAACUUAGCAAUAGGUUCUUGAGAGUGGCGCACGGGUGCGUAACACGUAUGCAACCUGCCCUUAAUCGGGGGAUAGCCUCUCGAAAGAGUGAUUAAUACCCCAUAACAUAUUUGUUAGGCAUCUAAUGAAUAUUAAAACUCCGGUGAUUAAGGAUGGGCAUGCGGCUGAUUAGGUAGUUGGUGAGGUAAUGGCUCACCAAGCCAACGAUCAGUAGGGGGUCUGAGAGGAUGUCCCCCCACACUGGUACUGGGACACGGACCAGACUCCUACGGGAGGCAGCAGUAGGGAAUAUAGGACAAUGGAGGCAACUCUGAUCCAGCCAUUCCGCGUGCAGGAAUAAGGCCCUAUGGGUCGUAAACUGCUUUUGUAUGGGAAAAAAUCAUCUUACGUGUAAGGUGUUGAUGGUACCAUGAGAAUAAGGAUCGGCUAACUUCGUGCCAGCAGCCGCGGUAAUAC
rnacentral:rRNA from 1 species